GGCAGCACGAUGUAGCAAUACAUUGGUGGCGACCGGCGCACGGGUGAGUAACGCGUAUGCAACCUACCUAUCAGAGGGGAAUAACCCGGCGAAAGUCGGACUAAUACCGCAUAAAACAGGGGUUCCACAUGGAAAUAUUUGUUAAAGAAUUAUCGCUGAUAGAUGGGCAUGCGUUCCAUUAGAUAGUUGGUGAGGUAACGGCUCACCAAGUCCACGAUGGAUAGGGGUUCUGAGAGGAAGGUCCCCCACACUGGUACUGAGACACGGACCAGACUCCUACGGGAGGCAGCAGUGAGGAAUAUUGGUCAAUGGGCGAGAGCCUGAACCAGCCAAGUCGCGUGAAGGAUGAAGGAUCUAUGGUUUGUAAACUUCUUUUAUAUGGGAAUAAAGUGAGGAACGUGUUCCUUUUUGUAUGUACCAUAUGAAUAAGCAUCGGCUAACUCCGUGCCAGCAGCCGCGGUAAUACGGAGGAUGCGAGCGUUAUCCGGAUUUAUUGGGUUUAAAGGGUGCGUAGGUGGUUAAUUAAGUCAGCGGUGAAAGUUUGUGGCUCAACCAUAAAAUUGCCGUUGAAACUGGUUGACUUGAGUAUAUUUGAGGUAGGCGGAGUGCGUGGUGUAGCGGUGAAAUGCAUAGAUAUCACGCAGAACUCCGAUUGCGAAGGCAGCUUACUAAACUAUAACUGACACUGAAGCA
rnacentral:rRNA from 1 species